ACUGAAAUAGCUCAGUUCGGAGAGCGUUAGACUAUAGAUCGAAAAGUCCCUGGUUCAAUCCCAGGUUCCGGCA
rnacentral:tRNA from 1 species